rnacentral:rRNA from 1 species
CACGUAGGGCGCGAGCGUUGUCCGGAAUUAUUGGGCGUAAGAGCUCGUAGGCGGCCUGUUGCGUCCGCUGUGAAAGCCCGGGGCUUAACCCCGGGUCUGCAGUGGAUACGGGCAGGCUAGAGGUAGGUAGGGGAGAAUGGAAUUCCCGGUGUAGCGGUGAAAUGCGCAGAUAUCGGGAGGAACACCGGUGGCGAAGGCGGUUCUCUGGGCCUUACCUGACGCUGAGGAGCGAAAGCGUGGGGAGCGAACAGG